UGGGGAAUAUUGCACAAUGGAGGGAACUCUGAUGCAGCGACGCCGCGUGAGUGAUGAAGGAAUUCGUUUCGUAAAACUCUGUUCUAUGGGAAGAAAAGGACUGUACCAUAGGAGAAAGCUCCGGCUAAAUACGUGCCAGCAGCCGCGGUAAUACGUAUGGAGCGAGCGUUGUCCGGAAUUAUUGGGCGUAAAGGGUGCGCAGGCGGCUUUACAAGUUGGAUGUGAAAUAUUGUGGCUCAACCACAAACGUGCAUCCAAAACUGCAAAGCUUGAGUUAAGGAGAGGUAAGUGGAAUUCCUGGUGUAGCGGUGGAAUGCGUAGAUAUCAGGAGGAAUACCGGUGGCGAAGGCGACUUACUGGACUUAAACUGACGCUCAGGCACGAAAGCGUGGAGAGCAAACAGG
rnacentral:rRNA from 1 species